rnacentral:rRNA from 1 species
UAUUAAUAAAAUUGUUUUAUUUAUUUAUUAUUGUUUAAUUUAAAAUUAAAUAAAUAUUAGUUAUUGUAUAAUAAAUUGAUUUAAUUAUUUAUACUAUAGUAAAUUAGUACUGUAAAGGAAAUUAAGUAAAUAUUAUAAUGUAAUAAAGUUAAUUUAAUUAAUUGUAUCUUGUGUAUCAGAGAAUAUCAAAAUAAUAUAUUUAAUUUAUUUUCUCGAAUUUAAAAGAUUUAAUUUAGUAAUUUAUUUAUUGUGUUAUAAAUAUUAAUAAUGCUUUAUUGGUAAUGAGAUGUUAUUCGUUUUUAAGGAUAUCUGGUUUUUUAAUAAAUGAAUUUAAUUCAGGUUACAUUAUUUAUUUAAUAUUUAUAUAUUAAAAUAUUUAUUGUUUCUAAUUUUAAAAGGGAAAAGCUUUUUAAAAUAUAAAUUAUAAUAUUAUGAUUCAUGGGAAUUUUAUGAAUUUAGAGUUUGUUAUUAAUUAAGGAUGUUAAAAUUUGGUUCUUUUUUUGUUAUGAUUUUUGUUUAUUUAAUUUUUUAUUAAAAUGUUGAAUUUAAUAAUAAAUUUUUAGAAAUAAUGAUUUUAUUAGUAAAAUUAGUUGUUAUAAAGUUUAUUUAAUUGAUUUGUGAAAAUAAAGAAUUAGGCAAAUAUUUCACUCACCUGUUUAUUAAAAACAUGGUUUCUUGGGAAUUUUUAAGAGAUCUGACCUGCCCACUGAAUAUUUUUGAAGGGCCGCGGUAUUUUGACUGUGCAAAGGUAGCAUAAUCAUUAGUCUUUUAAUUGAAGGCUUGUAUGAAUGGUUGAAUGAGGUGAAUACUGUUUUAUAAUUAUUUAUUGAAUUUAGGUUUUAAGUAAAAAAACUUAAAUGUUAUUAAGGGACGAGAAGACCCUAUAGAGUUUAAUAAAUAUAAUAAUUAAUUAAGUUUUUGAAGAAAUUUUUAAUUAUUAUGAAAUUUAUUUAAUUGGGGUGAUUUAAAGAUAAAUAUAACUCUUUAUAAGUAUUAAUAUUUUAAUUAAUUUUUUGAUCCAUAAAUAAUGAUUAGAAGAUUUAAUUACCUUAGGGAUAACAGCAUAAUUUCUUUUAAGAGUUCAUAUCGAAAAAGAUGAUUAUGACCUCGAUGUUGGAUUAAGAUUAGAUUUGGGUGUAGAUGUUCAUAAUCUAGGUCUGUUCGACCUUUAAAAUCUUACAUGAUCUGAGUUUAAACCGGCGUGAGCCAGGUUGGUUUCUAUCUUUAAUAGAAUUUAAUAUCUUAGUACGAGAGGACCAGGUAUUUAAAAUAAUUUUUAUUAAAUGAUUGAAUUUUAGUAAUUAA